GCUCGGGAACUUGCCCUUGGUGCGCCUGUCGACAGCUCAGCUGCCGAACCAGCCCCUGGUCCUGCCUCUACCCCAGCCGGUUAGGUAGGACUUCCCGGGUACUCGGCGCCUGCUUCUCUGACUUUUUGCAGAUCUCGUCGGCGGGAGCACAGUCUUUAGUUCGCAGGGUCACAGAAACAGCAGCAUCGCUCAUUCUCAACCACGCCGGGUUUGCACCUGCCACGCUGGACUCAAAAUGCCCUUCCCAGGCGCUCGAAAUUGCUGUCCAGGACCGUGCCCUCCUGCUACCCCGCCGAGGAUUCUCUGUUGGGAAAACCACAGACAUGGUUGAGGUCCAGAAAUGACCUGUAAUCUGAAGAAUGUUUGGUCACAUGCCCAGGCAUUGGAGGAGUGGCAAACUACACAUCUCUGACUGG
rnacentral:lncRNA from 1 species